rnacentral:rRNA from 1 species
UACGUAGGGGCAAGCGUUGUCCGGAAUUACUGGGCGUAAAGGGCUCGUAGGCGGCCAACUAAGUCGGAUGUGAAAUCCCCAGGCUUAACCUGGGAACUGCAUCCGAUACUGGAUGGCUUGAAUCCGGGAGAGGGAUGCAGAAUUCCAGGUGUAGCGGUGAAAUGCGUAGAUAUCUGGAGGAAUACCGGUGGCGAAGGCGGCAUCCUGGACCGGCAUUGACGCUGAGGAGCGAAAGCUAGGGGAGCAAACGGG